UUUCCGUAGGUGAACCUGCGGAAGGAUCAUUAAAGAGUAAGGGUCUUCGGGCCCGAUCUCCAACCCUUUGUUUAACUACCAUGUUGCUUUGGCGGGCCGUUAGGCUCCGGCCCGACUACCGGCCCCGGCUGGUAAGCGCCCGCCAGAGGACCCAAAACCCUGAAUAUUAGUGUCGUCUGAGUACUAUAUAAUAGUUAAAACUUUCAACAACGGAUCUCUUGGUUCUG
rnacentral:misc_RNA from 1 species